CACGUAGGGUGCGAGCGUUGUCCGGAAUUAUUGGGCGUAAAGAGCUCGUAGGCGGUGUGUCGCGUCGGCCGUGAAAACCUGCAGCUUAACUGUGGGCUUGCGGUCGAUACGGGCAUCACUGGAGUUCGGCAGGGGAGACUGGAAUUCCUGGUGUAGCGGUGAAAUGCGUAGAUAUCGGAAGGAACAUCAGUGGCGAAAGCGACUUCCUGGACCAAUACUGACGCUCAUGUGCGAAAGCGUGGGGAGCAAACAGG
rnacentral:rRNA from 1 species